GAAUUAAUUUGGUGAUUGACUGUUGUGUCCAAGGUGUGUGGCUUGAAGACAUGGUCUCCAACCUUCUUGAAAUCUUCGAAACACUCAUUUCUCUUCUGCUUCUUCGUUCUUAUUCAAUUUCGUUUUCUCUUCGUCAAAGCCGUAAACCCUAGGGAAAAGGGGAAGUGUGUUGGUGCGGCUAGGGGAGGGAAGAGCAUCAGGUAGGAAUGGUUUAGGCGAGUGAAUGAGAGUAAUGGAGGGAGUAUCUCGUUUUGGUGGCGCGAGAGAGAAGGAGAAAGGGAAUCCGAUGAUGGUGAGCGGGGGUUUAGGGUUGGUUUGGGGUUCAUUGUGAAGGCUAUUCGAGGAAUUUGGGAAUGUUGGAGAAGGACACGAAGAAAAGAGAAAUUGUGAGAAGCAGCGAGUGAAUUGAAGUGACAAGGAGAGAAUGAGUGGGUCGCGAGAGGCUAAGAAGAGAAAAGAGACGCAUUCAGGCACUUGUUCCAAGUAUGAAGUGACAAGUCACGACGUACCCAUAUGCUGAUUGCCAAAGUUGAUAUGUUAUUGUUGUAUUGUAUGAGAUUGAAUUGGGUAUGCCGUAGUCUUUUAUUUUUUAAAUGUGUGGCUGACCAAGCAACUUAUGUUAA